UUCUUCAGUCAAGCACCUUUAAAGAUUAGGUUAAAAGGUAAAUAAGACCCUGUGGAAAUGGUGGCUUUCAUCGGAAAAACACUGAUGACAUACCUUCCCAGAACUGCUCACCAGCUUGACUGUAGAAGUCUUCUGCAGAAGAAGAAGAAGAAAGAGCCAUAGUUCUGGACAGCAUGAGAGCCAAAUGUCACUGUUUUGUACUUUCUUGCUUUGUCAUUUGACAUAUUGAGGAAGUCCAGUGCUCAAUAAGAACAUUGUAACAAUGAGGUUAAAGUAAUAGUUGUCCUUGAAUAAAAACCUCUGCAUAUGUA